rnacentral:rRNA from 1 species
AUUGAACGCUGGCGGCAUGCCUUACACAUGCAAGUCGAACGGCAGCACGGGAGCAAUCCUGGUGGCGAGUGGCGAACGGGUGAGUAAAGUAUCGGAACGUGCCCAGUCGUGGGGGAUAACGUAGCGAAAGUUACGCUAAUACCGCAUACGAUCUAUGGAUGAAAGCGGGGGGUCGCAAGACCUCGCGCGAUUGGAGCGGCCGAUAUCAGAUUAGGUAGGUGGUGGGGUAAGGGCUCACCAAGCCGACGAUCUGUAGCUGGUCUGAGAGGACGACCAGCCACACGGGGACUGAGACACGGCACAGAAUCCUACGGGAGGCAGCAGUGGGGAAUUUUGGACAAUGGGCGAAAGCCUGAUCCAGCCAUGCCGCUUGCAGGAUGAAGGCCUUCGGGUUGUAAACUGCUUUUGUACGGAACGAAAAGGUUUGGCCUAAUAAGCUGAGCUCAUGACGGUACCGUAAGAAUAAGCACCGGCUAACUACGUGCCAGCCGCCGCCGUAA